CAGUAGCCACGGUAAUACGUAGGGUGCAAGCGUUAAUCGGAAUCACUGGGCUUAAAGCGCGUGUAGGCGGAUGGGAACGUCGGUCGUUGAAAUCCCCCGGCUUAACCGGGGAAGUGGCGCCGAUACGACCCGUCUGGAGGAACGUAGGGGGAGCUGGAACUUCCGGUGGAGCGGUGAAAUGCGUUGAGAUCGGAAGGAACGCCCGUGGCGAAAGCGAGCUCCUGGACGUUUUCUGACGCUGAGACGCGAAAGCCAGGGGAGCGAACGGGAUUAGAUACCCCCGUAGUCCCUGUCUCUUAUA
rnacentral:rRNA from 1 species